CUGCCUCUGGCUCUCAACUUCACAAAACAAUCAAUUUAUUUGACGGUGAAUAUGAUUAAGAAUGCCAUGUUCGACACAGAGAGAGAGAGAGAGAGAGAGAAGAAUCAAAUGUUAGGUUUUGCGCAGAAGGAAAGAAGAAGUGGAAAAGUUGAGGCAUCUGAUUAAUAAGGGGAAGAAGGUAGAUAAGAUAACUCGGAGAAAAGGAAGAGGGGGACGGGAAGCUGUCACGGUUUUGUUUUGAUUUCGCACAACAAUUGUUAUAGAGUCUCUAUUACUAUUGAAGAUGCCAACGAUCAAGCCACAGCUAUAUUGAUGGGAAAGCAAGCGCAGAACAACUAUUCAGAAGCAGCUGUCAAGACUUGGUCAACAAAAGAUCAUAUCCAACAAGUGAACUCAUAGUCAAAGGUAUCUUCCCAGACGUACAACCCUUUGGACCGCCACUGCAAAAAGAGCCAACCACUGCAACACCAAACCAUCGUGUUUCCGAUAAAAAAAGAGCCAUUCAAACCAGCAGAAGAGAAUUAUAUAUUCACCUCUGAAUCGAACAAAAAAGCCAAGAGGUAAAUAUUACAGAAAUUUAGUUUCUAUAAUCACUACACUAUACUAUGUUUGGUACGAAUAAUUAAACCCACUUGAAUCAGUGUUUUGUAACCAUGAAUAAUUAUUUGAAUCAUCAUAUAUACCUUGAAACAAGGUGCUGCACACAAUAUUAUGAUAAUUCAAAUCAUUAUUCAUGGUUCCAAAGCCUGGGAAGAACCCAACAUUACAUCUUUCAUUUCUUGAUGUAAUUUGAGGAUGUUGAGUUUCUAUGGAUAUCAUGAUCAGUUGAAAGAACAAUUAUUAAAAUACAUUAAUUGAAUUGCUCUCGAUAAAGUAAAUAAAAUAAAAAUCACACUCUGAACAACUUCAUCCCAAUGGUUGGUCUAAACUGAAAUAGAUUAAGGGAUUGGAAUGUAAUAUAUAACACAGCAGGAAAUUUUGGUUUUUCUACAUGAUCUUGGUUCUGGUUAGAAGAUAUCUUUAUUUGAUGAAAAUAACAUUCAUGUAAUCAAACUUUAAAAUCAGUUUCGUUGACAGCAAUACACUCAUUUCUAGAUUAUUCAUUCAUUUUCAAUUGGCCAUACAUCUUUUGUUACCAGCAUUUUGUUAACUUGCAACAUUUUGGUUUCUGAUUUGGGUGCUUUGGGAUAUUUGCAUAGAAAUCUGAAGUUUGAUUUAUCUAUUUGAAAUGGUAUAGUACUCAAUACAUGUUGUGUAGAAAUAUAGUUGUACAUCUUCUGUUACUAAAAUUUGCUAUUUUUUUUGGUUUCUGAUUUAAUUGAAACUGUGUGAUUCAUUCAGAGAAAAAAUAUGCUAUCAAAUUCUCCGACUGUUAUAUUUCUAUUCUAUAUCAAACUGCAAUUUUCAAAUUCCUUCCUGUAGCUCUAACUCUGUUUUCUUUGUUUGAAAGUGGCAGGCAAAGUAAACAUGGAACGGC